rnacentral:rRNA from 1 species
UGGGGAAUUUUGCGCAAUGGGGGAAACCCUGACGCAGCAACGCCGCGUGGGUGAUGAAGGCCUUUGGGUCGUAAAGCCCUGUCAGUGGGGAAGAAAUGUGAGGGGCUAAUAUCCUUUUCACUUGACGGUACCCACAAAGGAAGCACCGGCUAACUCCGUGCCAGCAGCCGCGGUAAUA